AUAAUAAUCAUGGAAACUUAUUGGCUACACAGUAUGUGACUUGCCAGGAUAUAAAUAUACUUGGACAUUCUCUAUUAGAGAAUAGAAAUCUCUAAGGGAUUCUCAAUUAAAGGGGCCACUUGGAUAAUGUACUUUUGCUUGCUGGUUUAUUCACAGGUUUAUAUCUCCAUGAAUUUGAGAAAAUUAAGAAUAAAAGAUUCAUUGAUUACAGAAAAUCAUCCCAAGAAGAUGCUCCCUUUUGACCAGUACAAAAGAGAGGUAUGCAGUUCCAAGUUGCCUUCCAGAAAGAAAGCUUUGGUUCACAUUCUCACCAGUGGUAUGCUUUUGUGCUGGCUUCCACAGAUUCUCUUCAACAUUUUUCACCAUCUCAAAUGGGGUCACCAACUUAUAUCUUCACUACAUCAGCCCACUUUGUGA
rnacentral:lncRNA from 1 species